rnacentral:rRNA from 1 species
AUUAGCCAUGCAUGUCUCAGUACAUGCCGAAUUAAGGUGAAACCGCGAAUGGCUCAUUAAAUCAGUUAUGGUUCAUUAGAUCGUGGACACAUUUACUUGGAUAACUGUGGUAAUUCUAGAGCUAAUACAUGCAAACAGAAUUCCUCUCAGAGAUGGGAGGAAUGCUUUUAUUAGAUCAAAACCAAUCGGUGGCGGACGGCUCGUCCGUUCGUCCAUCGUUUGUUUUGGUGACUCUGAAUAACUUUGUGCUGAUCGCAUGGUCAUCUAGCACCGGCGACGCAUCUUUCAAAUGUCUGCCUUAUCAACUGUCGAUGGUAGGUUCUGCGCCUACCAUGGUUGUAACGGGUAACGGGGAAUCAGGGUUCGAUUCCGGAGAGGGAGCCUGAGAAACAGCUACCACAUCCAAGGAAGGCAGCAGGCGCGCAAAUUACCCACUCCCGGCACGGGGAGGUAGUGACGAAAAAUAACGAUACGGGACUCAUCCGAGGCCCCGUAAUCGGAAUGAGUACACUUUAAAUCCUUUAACGAGGACCAAUUGGAGGGCAAGUCUGGUGCCAGCAGCCGCGGUAAUUCCAGCUCCAAUAGCGUAUAUUAAAGUUGUUGCGGUUAAAAAGCUCGUAGUUGAAUCUGUGUGUCACAGUGUCGGUUCACCGCUCGCGGUGUUUAACUGGCAUUAUGUGGUACGUCCUAUCGGUGGGCUUAGCUCCUUGCGGGCGGUCCAACUAAUAUCCCAUCGCGGUGCUCUUCACUGAGUGUCGAGGUGGGCCGAUACGUUUACUUUGAAAAAAUUAGAGUGCUUAAAGCAGGCUACCUUUGCCUGAAUACUGUGUGCAUGGAAUAAUGGAAUAGGACCUCGGUUCUAUUUUGUUGGUUUUCGGAACCCCGAGGUAAUGAUUAAUAGGGACAGAUGGGGGCAUUCGUAUUGCGACGUUAGAGGUGAAAUUCUUGGGAUCGUCGCAAGACGGACAGAAGCGAAAGCAUUUGCCAAAAAUGUUUUCAUUAAUCAAGAACGAAAGUUAGAGGUUU